UUGCAAUGAUGUAUGAAUUUCUUCACCUGAAACUCAACCAUGAAGAGUAAACUAUAUAAGAGCUUUUUAACCCUGAGCAAU